CGGAGCGGCGCGCAGUUGUGCCCGCCGCCCGCCAGGGGAGCAGCAGUCACGCCUCGCAGCGGCGGCGGCGCGCAGAGAGGCGGGGGGCCGCCCCCUCCGCCCCCGGCCAGCGGCAUGAGCGGGUAGCCGCAGCCACGGCGCCGUCCGGCCUGUGGUCCGGCAUGACCGUGGUGAAGGAGUGCGCGAUGGGCGCGCGGGUGUCCGGCUUCCUGCAGAGGUGCAGGGAGUCCCGCCGCCUGGUGCUCGUCAUCGUGGCCAUAGCGCUGCUGCUGGACAACAUGCUGCUCACCACCGUCGUGCCGAUCAUCCCCGAGUUCCUGUACGACAUCCGGCACCCCAACGAGACCCGCCUGAGGGACCACCCUCCCCCGGUCACCACCCCCGAGCCGCCAGACACCGCCAGCCUGGAGUUCCUCGACCUCACCACCGCGCCGUACGACCUGCUCGGCAACCUCACCACGCUGUCGCCCAGCCAAGAGCGCAAGCGCAGGCGCCACAAGGACCUCAUCGAGGAGACGGUGGCCGUCGGCAUGAUGUUCGCGUCCAAGGCCUUCGUCCAGCUGCUGUCCAACCCCAUCGUCGGCCCGCUCACCCACAAAAUUGGCUACAGCAUCCCGAUGUUCACAGGCUUUGUGAUCAUGUUCCUGUCCACACUGAUCUUCGCCUUCGGCCGCAGCUACAGCGUGUUGUUCCUGGCCAGGGCGCUGCAGGGCAUCGGCUCCUCCUGCUCCAGCGUGUCAGGCAUGGGCAUGCUGGCGGAGCGCUACCCCGACGACAAGGAGCGCGGCAACGCCAUGGGCAUCGCGCUGGGAGGCCUGGCGCUGGGCGUGCUGAUCGGCCCGCCCUUCGGCGGCGUCAUGUACGAGUUCGUCGGCAAGUCGGCGCCCUUCCUCGUGCUGUCCGCCCUGGCGCUCGGCGACGGCCUGCUGCAGCUGCUCAUGCUGCAACCCGCCGUGGUGCUGCAGGAGUCGGACCCGCCGUCCCUCAAGGCGCUCGUCAUGGACCCCUACAUCAUCGUGGCGGCAGGCGCCAUCACCUUCGCCAACAUGGGCAUCGCGAUGCUGGAGCCGUCGCUGCCCAUAUGGAUGAUGGACACGAUGGACGCGGACCGCUGGCAGCAGGGCGUCACCUUCCUGCCCGCCAGCAUCUCCUACCUCAUCGGCACCAACCUGUUCGGCCCGCUGGGUCACCGCAUGGGCAGGUGGCUGGCCUCUCUAAUAGGAUUGGUUGUCAUCGGGAUAUGCCUCAUGUGUAUCCCGCUGGCCAGCAACAUCAACCACCUGAUCGUGCCAAACGCCGGCCUGGGCUUCGCCAUCGGCAUGGUGGACAGCUCCAUGAUGCCGGAGCUGGGCUACCUGGUGGACAUCCGGCACACCGCGGUCUACGGCAGCGUCUACGCCAUCGGGGACGUGGCGUUCUGCCUGGGCUUCGCCGUCGGUCCGGCCCUGAGCGGCACCCUCGUCAACACCAUCGGGUUCGAGUGGAUGCUGUUCGGGAUCGCCAUCCUCAACUUCCUGUACGCCCCGCUCAUGUACCUGCUGAGGAGCCCGCCCACCAAGGAGGAGAUGAAGGGCUUGGAUAAGUUUGUCAGCAGAAUAUGUUGUAAGUAGUCCAGCGUCUCCGAAGAGUUGCAAUCGGAAGUUCGUCCGCAGUUUUUCUUUUUUAAGUCGCUCGUCAUGGGCGAGAAAUCCUCCGUGAGGUACGUCACUUACCAGAACGAGGAGGAAGACGAGUAAACUCAGCACCGUCAGCCAGGCAGUGUCGUACAAAACAUUUCACUACCAGAAGCACCCAACUAAACUCAGCAGAACCACACCGGACGUCGACCAUGCAAACACAGUAGUUGAACCGAGGUGAUGUAAAUACGUCACAUUAACCAAUCAACGAGUUUCCCACGCCACUGACGAGUACAACUUGUUUGGCCAGUAAUUUCAAGAACCAAAGGUUGCCAAAAAAAAAAAAAAGAAAAAAAAAAUCAAGUUCUGUAACCACACAAGGUAUAUAUAAUGUACAGAUAAUAUUAUUGGAAGAAUAAAUAUAAAACCUGAACGAUGUUGAUACUGUAGUCAACACAUAUUUUUAUCUAAAUACUUUGUAGUAAAUUAUUCAUGUAUUUUUGUCAAGUCCCAACUAAAUUUUUUUUUAAAUUUUAAAUGAAUUAUAUUCUUGUAUAAAAAAAUAACUUGUUUGUAAACAAAUUCUGUAUUAGUUAAAUAAUGAGGUGUUUUAUGCUUCAGAUGAGAAUUUCUUUUCCGACUGCAUAAUCACUUCAACAUAGAAUAAAGUUUUCUUUGCCCUUGCGCUAGUAUUAUGUAGAGUUGUACUUCUCAAGAAAUGCCUGCCAACAGGGUAUUAGAAUUAAUAGAUAUUCUUGGUUUUCUUCUCUUCGCAAAUACAAAACCAAAAUGCAAGUACUGACUUGACAGAUUCACACAAUUCUCUAACUUUUUUUUAGUAUGUUUGAGCACAGAAAAAAAAAAGGACAAUUUACAAUGAUUUUACCGUGCUGGGAGUGUACAACUUAUUUUCGCAAAAAUUAACAAAAUUCCAAAAUAAUCUAAAAGCACAGGUUUUGCCCUAAUUGAAAGAUUCUCGUGAAUGGCUGCAUGGAAUCUAAGUAAAGGGUUGUUUUGAAAAGAAAACCUGUGAACAUUGGCUAAAUUAAAUUUUUGGUGUCACAUAAAAUUAUUAAGUGGAUGAUUAACAAUUGAAAACACUCUUAGUCACACCAUUCCAGGAGUCGACACUGGGAAUGCAUGUUUAAGGCUCUUGUGCAGUAGCCGUCUUCUGAAUGCUUCACAAACUGGACUUUCACAGAACAGCAUGCAUGAUUGAUGAUCAUGCAGCAAAGUUUCACGAAUGACGCCUCUCAGACCAAUUUUGCAGCGUAAUUUUUUCCGAACGCCAGAGGAUGUUAAAAGCGACGUUUUUUAGAUGUGGAAAUCUGAAGGGAACAAAUGAGAGCGGUCCAGAGGUAUGAGAAAUUGUAAAUUAAAAUACGAGGCUGUUUUUGAAAUGACAAAGAUACACUCUUUACACUUUGCAUGUAAAAUGCUAAUAAUGGAUGUUACAGUGUAUCAUUGUUGGUAUUAUUUUUGUAUGCUGAGGUUAUUUUUGUUAUUAAAGAGUAUGAAUUUUAAUAUUCUUCAGGGGAGCCAUUCAUGCGGCCCUCUGUUUAGAUAUUGUGAGCAGACAAUAACUUGUCAAGACACACCGACAUUUGCUGCAGCAAUGCUAGCAUUAAAACAUUGUCUGCAAGCAAAGUUAUAGCUGGUUUGGGGUCCGAAAAAACAAAUAUACAUAUACUAUAUAUAUAUAUAUAUAUAUAUACAAUCGUAAGAUAGCAACAUGACGAAUACCUCCUGCAAGUUCGAAACUCAAAACCAACUCGGUGGCAAGUUUGAAUACUGAGAGGCUCGUCUGUUCAAAAAUCUUAUAAUAUGUAAGUGUAAAUUAUAUUAUCUUGUAUGUGAGGGACACUUGUUAUAUUCUCUUGAUGAAAAACAAACAGGUUACAAACUAUAUAUAUUAUAUACAUGUGUUGCAGAAUUUCGUGGCAAUUGUGAAUGAACAGCUUCUUAUAUUGUAUGGUGUUUGCUGAAAUGUGGUGCAAUAAAUAAAUAAAGUUCAAC